UCUAAUGAAAUGAUCAUGUGGUUC
rnacentral:piRNA from 1 species